rnacentral:rRNA from 1 species
UUUCAAAGUGAAUUGCGUACGGCUCAUUAGAGCAGAUAUCACCUUGUUCGGAAUCCUAAUAUGGAUAACUGCGGAAAUACUGGAGCUAAUACAUGCAACUAAACCCCAACGUAAGGCGGGGUGCAAUUAUUAGAACAGACCAAACGUUUUCGGACGUUGUUUGUUGACUCUGAAUAAAGCAGUUUACUGUCAGUUUCGACUGACUCUAUCCGAAAAGGGUGUCUGCCCUUUCAACUAGAUGGUAGUUUAUUGGACUACCAUGGUUGUUACGGGUAACGGAGAAUAAGGGUUCGACUCCGGAGAGGGAGCCUUAGAAACGGCUACCACGUCCAAGGAAGGCAGCAGGCGCGAAACUUAUCCACUGUUGAGUAUGAGAUAGUGACUAAAAAUAUAAAGACUCAUCCUUUUGGAUGAGUUAUUUCAAUGAGUUGAAUACAAAUGAUUCUUCGAGUAGCAAGGAGAGGGCAAGUCUGGUGCCAGCAGCCGCGGUAAUUCCAGCUCUCCUAGUGUAUCUCGUUAUUGCUGCGGUUAAAAAGCUCGUAGUUGGAUCUAGGUUACGUGCUGCAGUUCGCAAUUUGCGUCAACUGUAGUCGUGACUUCUAAUUUGCUGGUUUGAGGUUGGGUCCGCCCUUCAACUGCCAGCAGGUUUACCUUGAAUAAAUCAGAGUGCUCAAAACAAGUGUUUGCUUGAAUAGCUCAUCAUGGAAUAAUGAAACAGGACUUCGGUUCUUUUUGUUGGUUCUAGAACUGAUUUAAUGGUUAAGAGGGACAAACCGGGGGCAUUCGUAUCAUUACGCGAGAGGUGAAAUUCGUGGACCGUAGUGAGACGCCCAACAGCGAAAGCAUGUCGCCAAAAAAGGGAAA